rnacentral:tRNA from 1 species
AUUUUCUUAGUAUUAACUAGUACAUGUGACUUCCAAUCACAAAGAUCUGGCUUCACCCAGAAGAAAAUA